GAGGAUAUAGCUCAAGUUGUGUAGAGUGCAUGCCUGGCAUUCAUAAGGUCCUGGGUUCAAUCCCCAGUACCUCCU
rnacentral:tRNA from 1 species